rnacentral:tRNA from 1 species
GGUGAGAUGGCUCAGUGGUUAAGAGCACUGACAGCUCUUCCAGAGGUCCUGAGUUCAAAUCUCAGCAACCA